rnacentral:miRNA from 1 species
UUCAAAGUAAAAGCUGUGCCU